GAUGAACGCUGGCGGCGUGCCUAAUACAUGCAAGUCGAGCGAACGGACGAGAAGCUUGCUUCUCUGAUGUUAGCGGCGGACGGGUGAGUAACACGUGGAUAACCUACCUAUAAGACUGGGAUAACUUCGGGAAACCGGAGCUAAUACCGGAUAAUAUUUUGAACCGCAUGGUUCAAAAGUGAAAGACGGUCUUGCUGUCACUUAUAGAUGGAUCCGCGCUGCAUUAGCUAGUUGGUAAGGUAACGGCUUACCAAGGCAACGAUGCAUAGCCGACCUGAGAGGGUGGUCGGCCAGACGGGAACUGAGACACGGUCCAGACUCCUACGCGAGGCAGCAGUAGGGAAUCUUCCGCAAUGGGCGAAAGCCUGACGGAGCAACGCCGCGUGAGUGAUGAAGGUCUUCGGAUCGUAAAACUCUGUUAUUAGGAGAGAACAUAUGUGUAAGUAACUGUGCACAUCAUGACGGUACCGAAUCAGAAAGCCACGGCUAACUACGUG
rnacentral:rRNA from 1 species